CCUACGGGUGGCAGCAGUGGGGAAUAUUGCGCAAUGGGCGAAAGCCUGACGCAGCGACGCCGCGUGAGGGAUGAAGGUCUUCGGAUCGUAAACCUCUGUCAGCAGGGAAGAACGGUCACUGUGCUAAUCAGCAGUGAAUUGACGGUACCUGCAAAGGAAGCACCGGCUAACUCCGUGCCAGCAGCCGCGGUAAUCCGGAGGGUGCGAGCGUUAAUCGGAAUUACUGGGCGUAAAGCGCACGUAGGCGGUAUGUUAAGUCAGCGGUCAAAUGUCGGGGCUCAACCCCGGACUGCCGUGGAAACUGGCGGCCUGGAGUGGGCGAGAGGUAUGCGGAAUGCGUGGUGUAGCGGUGAAAUGCAUAGAUAUCACGCGGAACUCCGAUUGCGAAGGCAGCAUACCGGCGCCCUACUGACGCUGAGGCACGAAAGCGUGGGUAUCGAACAGGAUUAGAUACCCUAGUAGUC
rnacentral:rRNA from 1 species